AUUUAGGCAUGAAGAAACUGAAGCAUGGAGGAAAAACUUAGCAACUAGCCCAACGUCACACAGGCAAGCCAGCCUUGACAAUGUGCUGAUGGCAACCUAGAACAUAAGCAGAGGAGUAUACAGGACAAGAACUUGAUGGUCUCGGGAAAAUGGACAACAUGACUCAGGUGAAAAAGAUUGAUCAUCAGAUGUUUCUUAUGUAUCAACCUGAUAUUUAAAUCCAUGAAGGACAGAGACGACAAAGGCAGGUGGAAUAGAUAGAGAAGAGAUUCAAGGUCUGAGCUCUACAUUACUCAAACUGUUAGAGAUUAGGAAGAAGAGGAAGACCUGGCAAAAGAAUGUCCUGGGAUGUAGAAAGAAAACCAGAAGCUUGUGUUCUCUGGAAACCAAAUGAAGAAAGGGCUUCCAGAAGGACAGACAAAGUGUAGUGUGUCAAAGGCUCCUGAGCAAUCAGAGGAGAGCACAAAGGGGCUCACAGGACUUUGGUAUCUGGAUCACCCAGUGACACUUCCUGAUCACGAGAAACUGUCAGACCAACAGGGGCACUUUCUGAAACCAGCAGUUCUUCAGUGCCCAAAUGCAACCUUGAUGGUUUGAUUUUGGAGGAUGGCAAUUCAUUAACAGCACUCCCCAGUGAUAAAUAUGAAAACCAAUAAAACCCCCCACCCAAGGCAAUCUCUCCCAGCUCCUCGCUUUGAGUAAAGUGAGUAACCUCCAUUUCUGCCAACUCCUGUCUUGUCUGAAGCCACAUUUCCCCAGCAAUGUCACAUAUGCAUUUCUUGAUCCUGGUCAUUUCUCCUCUUGGGAGAUGAAUCAUAAAGAAAAUGAGAUCUGUGUGCCCUGGUGACUAUGGAUGCAAGAGUCUGCUGCCCUGGAGGGAACAGCUGGAAAAGUAGAUGGUGAAGACGUGUGGGGGGGAAACAGUGGAGAAGGCAUCUUUGCAGGGGAUCAAGGUGACAGAGUGAUUAGUUACACUGUUUUGACAUGUGAGAACAGGGGGUUAUAAAAAUGGAUACAGGAAGAGGGAGAGAAAGUAAGGACCAAAACAUGAAGCCAGUCAUGAAUGUUUUUACAUAAAAAGCAGCAGAUUUACGGCAAAUAUGUGAUGUUUCCACAUUUUCUGCCUCUAGUUAGCAGGGGCAGCACAAAGAGCAUUACUGUGGAGCUGAACUUUGGGUAAAAGAUUAACAGCCAGUCCUUUCUCUCCAGUGUCUGCUUCCUUCUGGGCUUGCCCUGGGGGAAAAGGAGGGCUGGCAUGGAUAUGCCUGCAGCCCUCACCCUAGAUGUUCUUCCACGCCUCUCUGUUCAUUCAUUGCUUAGUCAUUCCUCAGGCAUGGAUUGAGACCACUGUGUGCCCAGGACCGACCUGGCCUAGGAUGGACAUAGAGAUGGAAAAGGCACAGGGAGCAGGUGACAGAGACAAAUCAAGGUCAUGGAGAAUAGCAGAGUAAGAUAGAAGAUGAAGGCAGGAGAUGGGGUUCUUGAGAAAGCGAGAGCAGGACUGACCCGUGUCUGCCUCACCUGUUAUUGCUGUAGCCUCUUCUCCUUGGAGUAUCCCUCCUGCUCUUGCAUCACCUUAGGAACUUGGAUCAGAGAGGAAAGUUACGGCCUGGAUAUGUUGUAGUAGGAGGGGACAAACAUGUUUGGAGACAGAAAUGCUUGGGGAGCGGGUGUUUUUGGGGGAUGAGACUUUCCAGGUCUCUCAAUUCACACUAUGUAGGUAGUUCACUGCACAGCUUAAAUAAGAGACAACUCUCCGGAGUGGUUGGCUCUCAUCCAAAAAAUGUGUUUUGGGCCUCAGAUUUCCAACGGAAGGGCUGAAGCGUGACUGGCCUGAUGUCAACUACUGAAGUCCACCUGCCCCUGCCCUAUCAGGUGUGGAAAUGCUGGGGUUCCUCUCUCAGAACCUACUUCCUGAGAUGUCGAAAUAUACCCAAGAGUAUUUCUGGGCCUUCUCCAAUCCGAAACUGUUUAGUUUUUGUGUGUGUGUGCCUACUUGGCCACACUAGAAGACAGAGGUGGCCUGGGUGAAAUGCAGGUUUCUAGAGGCUCUCUGACAAAGCUCAGGCCACCAGCCCCAGGCCAGCCUGUGGGUAGUCCUGGCUGACAGUCACUUCAUACCUCACCUGGGCUUUUUGCCAAAUUCAAAGUGUGUGUAUAUGUGGAGUGCUGGGUUCCCACCACUGACAGUCUGUAAGUCAUUCACUUAGCUCAAUUUGUCUUACUUUCUUCUGAAAUUUCUUCCUUCUUGUUCUUUUUCCCAGGAGAAACCAGGAGAAGGCAGUCCUAGGGCAGUCUCCGGGCCAGCUUUCCCUAAUAAGAAGGCAGAGCUCCUCUUCACCCAGACUUCAGACCUAUAGAGGCAGCCUGGGGUCCCGGGAUGCCCUUGCACUCAGAGAUGUCCCCAGAGUCCUAGGGAAAUGGAGGAUAACUAGGAGGAAGCUGUUCAUGGCUGGCGAUGAGGUCUAUACCUUCUUGUCCGUCUCAGUGCUGUCUGCUAUUGAAUUUUUGUGCAGAUCACAUUAACUUAAAGCCAGUUCUCAAGAAGCUCCCCCUGCCGCCGGCAUAUCCACCAGUUGCUCCCCUUUCCUGCCAUUAAUCAGGGUCUGCUAGUUAGAGAACAAAUUCCUAUUUGUCCAAACAGUUGCCAACACCCCCACCCCAAGGUAGUUAAAUGAGGAUGAAUGGGUCAUUCUUAUUAAAAAAUGACUUAAAUUUCUCAAAUUCUAUUUAUGUUUCUUUUACAUCCCAAUUUUCUAUAGAUUUAGUGACUCCAAAUGAUAAGGUCUCAAGCUCAUAAUAAUUUAUCCCUUGGGUAACACACAAGGCUUGGUGGUAUUUCAGUAAUAUUCAUGACAACAGCAGCUGUCGUGCUAAUAAGGACUGAUGUCACCAGAGCACUUUCUAUGUGCCAAGCAUGGUGCACAACACUUUACAUACAUUAUGUCAUUUAAUUUUCACAAAACCUCACAGAGGUAAAUAUUAUUAUCUUCCUCUGCAUAUAAGGAAAUGAAUGUUCGGAAAGAUUAAGUCAACUCACUGAGGUCCCAUCAGUGCUCUUUCAUAUGCCUCUGUUGCAGUCUCAUUGAACUGCUGAAAUCAGAAAAACCUGGAGACCUUGUUAACCUUCAGAUUCCUGGGCCCCAUCUUAGAUGCAGGGAGUCAGACUUCCUGGGAGUGUGGCCCUGGAAUUUUCAUUUGUAAACACAUUCCCCAAGAGACCUGUAUGCACACUAAAGUGGGAGAAUUCACGAUCUCUGGCUUUUGUGAUGUUUUAAACGCACUAUAUAAUUUCAGUAGCAAAAGAAUUGGGCUUUGGGAAGGGAGUGUGUGGUGAACCCUGAAAGCUGAAUGGACUUCCUUCCUGUGGAGGAGCAGUGGGAGAAACUGGAGGCAGAGAGCUGUGUUUCAUUCCUUGAUUGAGCCUUUGUGAGUUAUUUAAUCUCUUUCAGUCUCUAUUUUUUUCAUUUGUAAACCAGGAAGGAUACUUGUAUUUUCCAGGUGGUUGUGAGGUGUGAAAGAGAUGAGAGUAGAACAAAAUUUUAAAAGUUGAAAGCACUCAACAAAUGUAUUUGGUAUUAAUCAUGGGUUUCCCUGGGGCCGAGGAAGCCACCAGCCACCGCAGGCCUGUACACAAUGCCAGCCACCAUGUAUGGAUACGGAGGAGGCAAAAGGACUAGCGAACACUCCCAGGGACUGGAUGUCUUGAAUAUCUGUCCAACUUUCUUGGGAGGGGCCAUUUCUUCUGUAACUCAAAGGAAUUUAUUAUUUUUCAGCCAGGGAGGCAUGCUUUCUAUCUACUGCUAGUACUCCCAGACCAAGCUGUUUCAGUGGGACUGAGGUGUGACUUCUGCCUCGGUUUCAUCCAUCUGUGCAGGGAAGAGAAAAAUGCCUGCACCUCCACGGUCACACCCUCUGUUGGAACCACCUCCUUAAGCCAGAAUUAUUGAAUGUUCUCUAUGUGCCAGAAUUAUUAUUAUCUCAUUUGAUUCUCACAACAAUGCCAUGAAGUCUAUACAGACAUACCUUGGAAAUACAGCGGGUUUGGUUCCAGACCACCGCAAUAAAGCUAAUACCGCAAUAAAAUGGGUCACACGAAUUUUUUGGAUUAGGCUUCGGCUUAAGGGAAUGUUGUGGCUGGUUUGAUGUUUUAUCCAGACCGCUAACACUUUCUCCCUAUCAGCAAUGAGGCUGUUUUGCUUUCUUAUCAUUCCUGUGUUCACUGGAGUAGCACUUUUAAUUUCCUUCAAGAACUUUUCCUUUGCAUUCAUAACUUGGCUAACUGUUUGGCACAAGAGGCCUGCCUAGCUUUUGGCCUAUCUAAGCUUUUGACUUGCCUUCCUCACUGAGCUUAAUCAUCUCUAGCCUUGGAUUUAACGUGGAAAAUGUGUGACCCUUCCUUUCACUUGAACACUUGGAAGCUAUUGUAGGGUUAUUAACUGGCCUAAUUCAAUAUUAUUGUGUCUCAGGGAACAGGGAGGCCCAGAGAGAGAGAGACGGGAAAACAGAAAGUCAGUGGGGCAGGCAGAACACACACGUUUAUUUAUUAAGUUUGCUGUCAUAUGUUGGUGCAGUUCAUGCUGCCCCAAAACAAUUACAAUAACAAGAUCAAAGAUUCCUGGUCAUAGAUUGCCAUAACAGAUACAGUAAUCACGAAAAAGUUUGAGAUAUUGUGAGAAUUACGCAGAUAUUGUGAGAAAUAUGACCCAGAGACAAGAAGCGAGCACAUGCCGUUAGAAAAAUGGCACCAACAGACUUGCUUGCUGCAGGGUUACACAUACCUUCAAUUUGUAAAAAAAAAAAACUGUAAUAUCUGCAAAACGCAAUAAAGAAAAGUGUAAUAAAAUGCAGUCUGCCUGAACUUCAAUUAUUCCCAUUUUAUAGAAGAGGAAAUAGAUGCAGGGAGUUUGAUCUGCCUGAACUAGUAAAUGGUAGAACUCUGGGACUAACAUUCCUAUCCUCUAUGCUACAUUCCUAGGAAAGAACGCUCAGACAGGGUUGGACUGAGAGUGUGUUAAGCUUUGCACUGUUUUGAGCCCUCUGAAGGAGUGUCCGUAUUUGAAAGCUGGCCUCCUUCCUUUCACUGGCCCUCCACAGUGUGGCCUAAGUUAUUCAAUUAGGAAGGGAAAUAAUUGGCAGUGGAGAAUGCCUCUAGCAGUGGUAAUUACCUCCAGUGCCUUGUAGGAAUAGUCAAGCUACAUUUCAGUUUAUGCUGUAAAACCUUAAUUAUAAUAUAAACAGCUGCCCUUCAGCCCAGUGGGGCAGCCUUCCCCCGCCUUCCUUCUCUGGCCUCUGAAUGGCCCUGCCUCCUGAAUGGUCAGGGAGGUCCAGGGACGGAAGGAGACCUGGGAGGAGGGGAGCCGAUGACUAUGCG
rnacentral:lncRNA from 10 species